rnacentral:sRNA from 1 species
CGCAGCCGCGGUAAUUCCAGCUCCAAUAGCGUAUAUUAAAGUUGUUGCAGUUAAAAAGCUCGUAGUUGAAUUUCGGGAUUAAUUUACUGGUCGUGCUAUUGUACGCACUGGUUUUAUUGAUUCCUCCCUUCUGACGAACUAUGAUGUCAUUAAUUUGGUGUCAUAGGGAAUCAGGACUGUUACUUUGAAAAAAUUGAGUGUUUAAAGCAGGCUCACGCUUGAAUACAUUAGCAUGGAAUAACGGAAUAGGACGUUUGAUUCUAUUUUGUUGGUUUCUAGGAUCGACGUAAUGAUUAAUAGGGAUAGUUGGGGGCAUUAGUAUUCAAUUGUCAGAGGUGAAAUUCUUGGAUUUAUUGAAGACUAACUACUGCGAAAAGCAAUUUGCCA